UACGUAGGGUGCAAGCGUUGUCCGGAAUUAUUGGGCGUAAAGAGCUCGUAGGCGGUGUGUCGCGUCGGCCGUGAAAACUUGCAGCUUAACUGUGGGCGUGCGGUCGAUACGGGCAUCACUGGAGUUCGGCAGGGGAGACUGGAAUUCCUGGUGUAGCGGUGGAAUGCGCAGAUAUCAGGAGGAACACCGAUGGCGAAGGCAGCUCGCUGGGACGGUACUGACGCUGAGGCGCGAAAGCUAGGGGGAGCAAACAGG
rnacentral:rRNA from 1 species